GUAUCUCUGGCUGAGUGGUAAAGCGCUUGGCUUACGAACAGGGAGUCCCGGGUUCGAAUACCGGGAUUUUUA
rnacentral:tRNA from 1 species